CUGGAGUUUGAAUCAGGAGCUGGUCCUAUGAAGAAAGGUUCUGGGAAAGUCUUUCUGGAGGGAGCCUCAGCAAUAUCAAGCUCCUGAGGAAGUGGAGACAUGUACAGCCGUCAGCCGAAGGCCUGGAGGACAGAAUUGCAGGAAAGAAGUGCUGAUACACAGUACAGCGUGGAUGAACUGGGAAAACAUAGCGCUCAGUGAAAGAAGCCGGACACUAAAGACCACAAGGCCCAUCACCUGCCCACUGCACAAAGGACUCUUGGCCCCAGCAGCCAAAGCAGCAGCCGUCAGCCUGGAUUCAGAAGCCCUGGGUUCUGGUGAGUCGUUGGGCUCUGUCCUUCACUGCAGUACCAGGCAAGUCUC